rnacentral:snRNA from 1 species
AUGAUCCCUCAGUGCACUGUUGCAAAAUACUUACCUGGACGGGGUCGACGGCUGAUCAAGAAGAGUCGUGGCCUAGGCUAGUGGUCCACAUUGCACUUGGUGGAUGCGUUGGCUUACCAUCUCCCCAAGUGGGAGAGUGGACGUCAUAAUUUAUGA